GGUCCUACUGAUUGAUCUCAGAUUCUGGGCCAGGAAAUGUGCCGGAUGCUGAUGAUACAAAUUGGAUGGGCAGCCAAGCCAACAGCCACUCUGGCUGUCUGAUGCAGCACGACUCCUGGAUGCCCCUCUUAGGAUGAACAUCUUCAAGGUUACACCGGUGCUCCUGGGAAGGAAACUGUGUACUGCAUCUAAGAACCGAUGAUCCCGUCCAACCUCACUCCGGACUUUCUGUAUCCUGGAAAGGCUGAGAACUGGAGACUUCCAGGGAAGGAAACCAUAGGAAGCUCUGCUUACCAGAUGGAAACUGGACAAGAAAGAGAAAUGACCAGAAUUGUCAAGGAGAUGAUGUAUGGGACACAUUCCCUUGGUGAUACUUCUGGUGGUUCCGAAAGACCCUGGCCUAGUGUUGCCCUAACCUAGCAGAGUCCAAGCAUCGGAAAAUGCCAGGAAGUGGUAAGAGAUCCACAGCCAUAGUGGCCACAACCAAACCUGGGAGGUGUUGGGAAAACAUAAUGGCAGCC
rnacentral:lncRNA from 1 species